rnacentral:lncRNA from 1 species
ACUUCUCACAGAGAUUGCUCUAAUCAAGAUUUUACUAAAUUGAAACACAGUGUAGCACUAUCUCCUAAAAUCAGAAGCAGUCAAUCCUAUUUUGACUUACACAUAGACUUCACAAGUAUUUGAUUAUGUCCAAAAAUCUUUCAUUACUGAAUUAAAAAUUUAGAUAGUUUGACAUCAAAGUAUAGUAAGUUGCUUGCAAAUCACCAUAAUGAUCUC